AUUCUGCCCAUGCGGGGAAGGAUGAGAAGCUUCGACCAAGGUUCGACUCGAGCGCCAGCGAGAGAGCGUUGCCGCAG
rnacentral:sRNA from 1 species